AUCUUCGUCUUGCAUCGUCGGCUGCAGUUUCUCAUUUUCUCUGAGCGUUUCAGCCGUCAGUGAUGAAUAUCAACAUCCUGGGUACCAAAGUCCAUGAUGCCUUGGUGGUUUUUGGGCUGUGUGUCCUGGUGCUGUUUGGGUGCGUUGGGGUAAUCUCUUGGGGCGGUUGGAAAAUAAACCAACAGGAUGAAAAACACUCAGAAGACACAACAUAUUUAAAGAGUCUGGCUGAUAAGCUGAAGAAUGAAAUGAAAAAUCACAGAAUGAAACUGAGAAACUGAGCAACCAAAUUCAGAACCUGAAUGAAAAAUUACAGAAUGAAACUGAGAACCUGAACCAGACAAUCCAGUUAAUGCAGAAAUUCAAAACCUUCCUGUUCAAUAAGUACUGCAACGGCAAAGAGUGUCUGCUGUGUCCGAUAGGUUGGAUCUUCUUCAGUGAUUCAUGUUACUUUAUCAGUAAUGUUUCUUUGACCAGGAAUGAAAGUCGUCGUUUCUGUCAGUUAAAAUCUGCUGAUCUGGUUGUUAUUAAUAAUCAGCAGGAACAGGAAUUCAUUUAUAACAACAUAAAUAACGGAUACUACUGGUUGGGGCUGCAAAGAAGUGGGAGCAACUGGGUUUGGAUUGACGGUUAUGUCGACACACUUGGGAACUGGAGAUGGUAUGACUAUUACUAUUACUAUAAUGGUGCAUGUGCAGUGAUGUAUCGAUCAGGGUAUCCCACAGCGAGCUGGGGAACGUCAUAUUCAUCUUCAAGCACAUACCGCCCCCUCUGUGAGCUGAAAGCCUUCACAGUGUCUCUGAAUUAACUCUGUUGCUGUUUUAAAUACACAUAUAUAUAUAAAGAUUCAUUGUUGAUUGUUCUUUACUAUAAUUCUGUUUGAUUCAGUCAAU